AUGGUUUCGUGGAGCGACGCCAGCGAGGAAUCGGGCUACGAGUACUCUUCAGGCGGCUCCCCUAUCAAGAUCCCGGCUACAAUCGAGGACCCGAACUACUCUGGUGUUGACGAUGAGGUGAUGGUGAUGUGUGAGCAUGGCCAGCCGGCGAAGAGGCAUGUUUGCUUCGAAGGGAUUAGCACUGGGAGGAGGUUCAUUGCCUGUGGACUUGAUGAAGCAAGCAGUUGUGGUGUUGUUCGGUGGGUAGAUGAGGAGUAG
rnacentral:rRNA from 1 species